UAGGGAAUUUUGCGCAAUGGGCGAAAGCCUGACGCAGCAACACCGCGUGAAUGUUAAGCCCUUCGGGGUGUAAAGUUCUGUCAGUGGGGACGAAUAAUGACGGUACCCACAAAGGAAGCACCGGCUAACUCCGUGCCAGCAGCCGCGGUAAUACGGGGGGUGCAAGCGUUGUCCGGAAUCAUUGGGCGUAAAGCGUUCGUAGGCGGUAUAUCAAGUCUGGUGUUAAAGCCCGAGGCUCAACUUCGGAUCGGCACUGGAUACUGGUAAACUAGAAUGUGGUAGAGGUAAGGGGAAUUCCUGGUGUAGCGGUGAAAUGCGUAGAUAUCAGGAGGAACAUCGGUGGCGAAAGCGCCUUACUGGGCCAUUAUUGACGCUGAGGAACGAAAGCCAGGGGAGCAAAUG
rnacentral:rRNA from 1 species